AUGGAAAUUUCGGGGUGUGACAGCACAUUCCUUGACCUUCUGAGUCUAGACUUAACAUAGGAAUACCCUGAUUCUUAUUAGGAAAUUUAUUGCUUCCAAUUUUAUAUAUAUUUUGAAUACGUCGCCAAGCAAACAAGCCGUAUUGGAAAUCCUCUACAACUAGAGCCUUGAAAUGCUGAGCUUUGUACCGCGACUAGAAUGUAACGUGCAUCCAGGGAGAAAACAUUCAGAAAUAAAAUAAAGAAGAAAACUCCUUUUGCUAAAGAUCGUUUCUUUAAUAGUCCUUAUAAGGACAUAUUUAUCUUUCAGUCCCUUCAAGGACAACAUCAUUCUUUUCAAGUCCCGUUUAGGGCAGAUCUGUACUCUAAUUUUAUAUAGUGGAAUGAUUAACUUUAAAUUUUCAUGCUAAAACAUGAAAUAUGAAAUAAAUAAAAAUAACAUUCCUUUUAUAAAAUCUACCAUUUUAAUAGAAUGGCAAAAAUCUAAAAAGGACAAGACCUAGCCACGUGUCAUGUAAAGACAUGGCCAAGAUGGUAGUUCCUCAAUCAGAUUCAGGUCCUUAUUAACAUCUUAAUUUAGGAUUGUUCUGCGUUAAAUAUUAAAGAAAAUCUUAAAAGGCAUAACCUAGCUUGAAUGUCAUUAAAGACCUGGCUAAGAUGGAAAACCUGUUUAAAAGAGAUUCAGAUUCUUGUUAACACCUGAGAACGUGUUAGCACUCCUGACAAAAGUGAUUCGAGAAAAUCACAAUAAUCAUUCCUAUAUUGGAAUUCUUCAAACUUCCUGAUCUAGCCUAAUGAUCCAGAAAUCAUGGCUUAUAUCAUCCUAUAUGAUGAUCAUAUUAUAAACAUCCAUUAGUGAUGAAGUGCCUACGGGCUAAACUUAUUGUCCGAUAAGACAACAACAGUGGUGGUCUUUACCCCCUGUCUAAAGAUGUUGGAUUGCGUCCAAGCAUCAUAGUCGGUAGGAUCCAUACGAUCUCGACUAAUAGCAUCUGAAAAGAUAAUCAUACCAUAAACAUCCCUCAGAAGGGAAAUGCCUACGGGCUAUAUCUAUUGUCC
rnacentral:lncRNA from 1 species